CCGGCGCACGGGUGAGUAACGCGUAUGCAACUUGCCUAUCAGGAGGGGGAGAACCGGCGAAAGUCGGACUAAUACCGCAUGAAGCAGGGGCCCCGCAUGGGGAUAUUUGCUAAAGAUUCAUCGCUGAUAGAUAGGCAUGCGUUCCAUUAGGCAGUUGGCGGGGUAACGGCCCACCAAACCGACGAUGGAUAGGGGUUCUGAGAGGAAGGUCCCCCACAUUGGUACUGAGACACGGACCAA
rnacentral:rRNA from 1 species